ensembl:snoRNA
AUGAUGAAGAAAUUACAUGUACUGAAACAUAAUAAAAAAUGAUUUCCCUUUAAAAUGGCUAUGAUGGUAUGCUGAGUUUCUUCAUAGUAUGCCAUUAUUAAAAGGGAAUACAAAU